rnacentral:rRNA from 1 species
GUGAGGAAUCUUCCACAAUGGGCGAAAGCCUGAUGGAGCAACGCCGCGUGCAGGAUGAAGGCCUUCGGGUCGUAAACUGCUUUUAUAAGUGAAGAAUAUGACGGUAACUUAUGAAUAAGCACCGGCUAACUACGUGCCAGCAGCCGCGGUCAUACGUAGGGUGCAAGCAUUAUCCGGAGUGACUGGGCGUAAAGAGUUGCGUAGGUGGUUUGUUAAGUAGGUAGUGAAAUCUGGCGGCUCAACCGUACAGGCUAUUACCUAAACUGGCAAACUCGAGAAUGGUAGAGGUAACUGGAAUUUCUUGUGUAGGAGUGAAAUCCGUAGAUAUAAGAAGGAACACCAAUGGCGUAGGCAGGUUACUGGACCAUUUCUGACACUGAGGCACGAAAGCGUGGGGAGCGAACGGGAUUAGAAACCCCGGUAGUCC